UGCCAUGAGACCACGUCGGGGCUUGG
rnacentral:sRNA from 1 species